UACGUAGGUGGCAAGCGUUGUCCGGAAUCACUGGGCGUAAAGCGCGCGCAGGCGGCGAUCUACGUCUGGGGUGAAAGUCCGGGGCUCAACCCCGGAUCUGCCGUGCCGACUGUCAGACUCGAGGACUGUAGAGGCAGGCGGAAUUCCGGGUGUAGCGGUGGAAUGCGUAGAUAUCGGGAGGAACACCAGUGGCGAAGGCGACUACCUGGCCUGUUCUUGACGCUGAGGCGCGAAAGCUAGGGGAGCAAACGGG
rnacentral:rRNA from 1 species